rnacentral:hammerhead_ribozyme from 1 species
GCACUGCUGAUGAGACCAUCCAGGUCGAAACAGCUGUCCAGUGC